UGGCGGCGUGCUUAACACAUGCAAGUCGAACGAGGAUCAUGGAGAGCUGCUGAAAUGAUCGAGUGGCGGACGGGUGAGUAACGCGUGAAUAAUCUGUCCUAUACAGGGGGAUAACGCAUCGAAAGAUGUGCUAAUACCGCGUAGGACCACGGGAUCGCAUGAUUCCGAGGUGAAAGGAGCAAUCCAGUAUAGGGUGAGUUCGCGUCUGAUUAGAUAGUUGGUGAGGUAACGGCCCACCAAGUCAACGAUCAGUAGCCGACCUGAGAGGGUGAUCGGCCACAUUGGGACUGAGACACGGCCCAGACUCCUACGGGAGGCAGCAGUGGGGAAUAUUGGGCAAUGGGCGAAAGCCUGACCCAAGCAACGCCGCGUGAAGGAAGAAGGUUUUCGGAUUGUAAACUUCUGUCCUAUGUGAAGAGAUAGAGACGGUAGCAUAGGAGGAAGCCCCGGCUAACUACGUGCCAGCAGCUGC
rnacentral:rRNA from 1 species